UACGAAGGGGGGCUAGCGUUGCUCGGAAUCACUGGGCGUAAAGCGCACGUAGGCGGCUUUCUAAGUCAGGGGUGAAAUCCUGGAGCUCAACUCCAGAACUGCCUUUGAUACUGGAAAGCUUGAGUCCGGGAGAGGUGAGUGGAACUGCGAGUGUAGAGGUGAAAUUCGUAGAUAUUCGCAAGAACACCAGUGGCGAAGGCGGCUCACUGGCCCGGUACUGACGCUGAGGUGCGAAAGCGUGGGAGCCAACAGG
rnacentral:rRNA from 1 species